AGCUAAUAGAUACCCGUAGUCCACGCCCUAAACGAUGUCUACUAGUUGUUGGUGGAGUAAAAUCCAUGAGUAAACGCAGCUAAACGCGUGAAGUAGACCGCCUGGGGAGUACGGUCGCAAGAUUAAAACUCAAAGGAAUUGACGGGGGCCCGGCACAAGCGGUGGAUUAUGUGGAUUAAAUUCGAUGCAACGCGAAAAACCUUACCUGGCCUUGACAUGCCACUAACGAAGCAGAGAUGCAUUAGGUGCCCGUAAGGGAAAGUGGACACAGGUGCUGCAUGGCUGUCGUCAGCUCGUGUCGUGAGAUGUUGGGUUAAGUCCCGCAACGAGCGCAACCCUUGCCAUUAAUUGCCAUCAUUUAGUUGGGCACUUUAAUGGGACUGCCGGUGACAAACCGGAGGAAGGUGGGGAUGACGUCAAGUCCUCAUGGCCCUUAU
rnacentral:rRNA from 1 species